UACGUAGGUGACAAGCGUUGUCCGGAUUUACUGGGCGUAAAGAGCGCGCAGGCGGUCGAUCAAGUCGAGUGUGAAAGCCCCCGGCUCAACUGGGGAGGGUCAUUCGAUACUGAUCGACUCGAAGGCAGGAGAGGGUAGUGGAAUUCCCGGUGUAGUGGUGAAAUGCGUAGAUAUACGGAGGAACACCAGCGGCGAAGGCGGGUAGCUGGGCCAACACUGACGCUGAUGCGCGAAAGCCAGGGUAGCAAACGGG
rnacentral:rRNA from 1 species